CUUCAAUACGUGGAUUUUGCAGGGACAUGAUUCAGUCCAUAGCACGUAUGUAAGAAAGAUGGGUUGUGGGUAGACCCAUGGAGAGGACUCAGGUUAGGACUCGAGAGGAGGAAGAGGAACCAAUGAAGAUCAUCUAUUUUUGUGAUACCCGGGACUUGGGGAGCCUUCAGGACUGUCUUCCCUGCUGAGGAGCCUUGGUGGGUGAGGAGCGAGCUCAGAAGAUUCAGCCGCCUUCGACCCAGUGCUGUGCUCCAGGGAACAGAAGCCGAACACAGUGGUGAAACUGAACUCUAGUCUCAGUCUGGAAUCCUUUCGGCUACUAUUGCCCGUGAAAGAGUGAGAUCAUUUUCCUUCAAAGAAUGAUUCUCAGCAUUUUGAGGGGCCCACAUCAUUAACCGGUGGAGUCGGGAGGAAGAGCUGGAAGCAGCCCCAGAAUCCUGACAAGGCCGUUCAAGGAGCGGGGCUGGCAGCGGCGCCAUGCUUU